rnacentral:rRNA from 1 species
CGGGGGGAGCAAGCGUUGUUCGGAUUUACUGGGCGUAAAGGGCGCGUAGGCGGCCACCGCAAGUCGACUGUGAAAUCUCCGGGCUUAACCCGAAAGGUCAGCCGAUACUGCGGGGCUAGAGUGCAGAAGGGGCAACUGGAAUUCUCGGUGUAGCGGUGAAAUGCGUAGAUAUCGAGAGGAACACCUGCGGCGAAGGCGGGUUGCUGGGCUGACACUGACGCUGAUGCGCGAAAGCUAGGGGAGCGAACGGGAUUAGAUACCCCGGUAGUCCUAGCCUUAAACGAUGAAUGCUUGGUGUCUGGGGUUUUAUAGUCCCCGGGUGCCGUCGCUAACGCUUUAAGCAUUCCGCCUGGGGAUACGGUCGCAAGGCUG